UUCCGGUUGAUCCUGCCGGACCUGACUGCUAUCGGAUUGAUACUAAGCCAUGCGAGUCAUUGUAGCAAUACAAGGCAGACGGCUCAGUAACGCGUAGUCAACCUACCCUAUGGACGGGAAUAACCUCGGGAAACUGAGUAUAAUGCCCGAUAGAACACUAUACCUGGAAUGGUUUGUGUUCCAAAUGAUUUAUCGCCGUAGGAUGAGACUGCGGCCUAUCAGCUUGUUGGUGAGGUAAUGGCCCACCAAGGCUAUUACAGGUACGGGCUCUGAGAGGAGAAGCCCGGAGAUGGGUACUGAGACACGGACCCAGGCCCUAUGGGGCGCAGCAGGCGAGAAACCUUUGCAAUGCGCGCAAGCACGACAAGGUUAAUCCGAGUGUUUCCUGCUAAAGGAAUCUUUUGUUAGUCCUAAAAACACUAGUGAAUAAGGGGUGGGCAAGUUCUGGUGUCAGCCGCCGCGGUAAAACCAGCACCUCAAGUGGUCAGGAGGAUUAUUGGGCCUAAAGCAUCCGUAGAUUGCUCUGUAAGUUUCCGGUUAAAUCUAUUAGCUCAACUAAUGGGCUGCCGGAAAAACUGCAAAGCUAGGAAGUGGGAGAGGUAGACGGUACUCGGUAGGAAGGGGUAAAAUCCUUUGAUCUAUUGAUGACCACCUGUGGCGAAGGCGGUCUACCAGAACACGUCCGACGGUGAGGGAUGAAAGCUGGGGGAGCAAACCGGAUUAGAUACCCGGGUAGUCCCAGCUGUAAACUAUGCAAACUCAGUGAUGCAUUGGCUUGUGGCCAAUGCAGUGCUGCAGGGAAGCCGUUAAGUUUGCCGCCUGGGAAGUACGUACGCAAGUAUGAAACUUAAAGGAAUUGGCGGGGGAGCACCACAAGGGGUGAAGCCUGCGGUUCAAUUGGAUUCAACGCCGGG
rnacentral:rRNA from 1 species